rnacentral:rRNA from 1 species
AGAGUUUGAUCAUGGCUCAGAUUGAACGCUGGCGGCAGGCUUAACACAUGCAAGUCGAGCGGGGUGAUGGUGCUUGCACUAUCACUUAGCGGCGGACGGGUGAGUAAUGCUUAGGAAUCUGCCUAUUAGUGGGGGACAACAUUUCGAAAGGAAUGCUAAUACCGCAUACGUCCUACGGGAGAAAGCAGGGGAUCUUCGGACCUUGCGCUAAUAGAUGAGCCUAAGUCGGAUUAGCUAGUUGGUGGGGUAAAGGCCUACCAAGGCGACGAUCUGUAGCGGGUCUGAGAGGAUGAUCCGCCACACUGGGACUGAGACACGGCCCAGACUCCUACGGGAGGCAGCAGUGGGGAAUAUUGGACAAUGGGCGGAAGCCUGAUCCAGCCAUGCCGCGUGUGUGAAGAAGGCCUUAUGGUUGUAAAGCACUUUAAGCGAGGAGGAGGCUACUUUAGUUAAUACCUAGAGAUAGUGGACGUUACUCGCAGAAUAAGCACCGGCUAACUCUGUGCCAGCCGCCGCGGUAAUAC